rnacentral:misc_RNA from 1 species
UGAUUUUCUCGCAUUCCCUUAAAUCAUUAUACGCUGUUAACAAUGAUGAACGUGCUCUGUGCCGCAAGGCUAUUAAUAUAAUACAACUUUUAACAACGGAUCUCUUGGCUCUCGCAUCGAUGAAGAACGCAGCGAAAUGCGAUAAGUAAUGUGAAUUGCAGAAUUCAGUGAAUCAUCGAAUCUUUGAACGCACCUUGCGCUCCCUGGUAUUCCGGGGAGCACGCCUGUUCGAGUGUCGCGAAAUUUCUCAAGCUUGGAUGGAUUUUUUGUCCGUCCUUAGCCUUGGUUGUUGGGCUUUGCCGUGUCCUUCAUUGGUACGGCUGGCCUUAAAAGCAUCAGCUGAUCCUCGUGUGGCACUGGUUCUACUCAGCGUGAUAACAGUCUGAUCGCUGAGGACAUCUUUUGGGAUGGCCAGCUCUCAUUUGGGUUGCUUCUAAACUUGGUUUCACAGAUUGUACAAUCUGUGUUCCACAUUUCAGCUUUGACCUCGAAUCAGG